CAACGCCUCUGCAAUGUUUACGGGGAAUGUCAAUGUGUACGCAUAACCUCGCCACGCGCGCGUCGUCGCGUCAGAACGGAACCCCUUCAACAGGCGCCGCGCAGCGCUUUGCCGGUCGACCGGGUCGACUGACGUUCGCGUCGGCUGUCACGGUGGAUAUUAUCGAUUACUUUCUAUCACGCAUGACGCGGUGAUCGCACGAAAGAAAAAUCUCCACGAGUACGUCUCCCGCGUGUCCUAAGAAUCGUUUCCGAAUAACUCGUGUGAAAAAAUUUAAGAGAUUCGUUAUAGGUAUUGCGAAGUUUAUUUCGCUGAUUAUAUACAUCACGUACUAUCGCUUUUUUCAUAACUUUUUGUGAUGUUUAUUUCAGGGAAGUAACAAUCGAAUGACAAAGUGGACGUUAUUGAGGAAAUGUAUUAAUUAAGCGCCAGAUCGAUAAUAAUGGCGAUCCGUUUGAGGACCUUCCUUGUGUGGGCGGACGUGCCCUCGCUCCGGCGUCUUCCGGCCGCGUUUCCUCGGUGAUGACGACUCGCCCGCCAUGGGAAUUAUCGGUACACAAGUAUCUUCCGUGAUUGAAUUCCUGUCUGCAAAAAUGAAAAACUAAAAUAAAUCGUUGCUGUGAGAAACGCUUGUUCUCAAACGUUAGUUUUUCUUUUGCAAGCGAGGAAAUUGACCGGUCGGCCAUAUGCGUCGACUCUCGUGCGCGCAGCAAAAGGUGGCGACGACAGGGUGCGAGGGUGGCGGCGUGACGCGCAGGAGAGGGAGGAGUGUUCCCGCAUUACAAAUUUAAUCUUACAAAUGGAUCCGAAAACUUGGAAACAAUGGAAUAUAUGAAAUGCGGCCGCGUAUAUCAUGCCAGUGGAGACGCGGGGUGGUCCCGACGGCAAUAUUGUCAGGGCCGAUCCAUAUUCUCCGAAAGCGCGACGGCGAGAGGGCCGUCGGGAGUCGAGGGGGGGGCGAAAGUGGUUCCCACCCGGGAUGGGCGAGCGGCAAAACAUGCUCCUGGCACGACAAGAAGCCGCGCGCGGAGGUAGACGCACGGUUCCUGUCGCAUUCGAAUCGUGUCGUGCAAAUGCCGGUAUAAACAGUCUUCUUUCUUUGUUUUCCGUUAGGUAAAGAUGAUUUUUCCCUCAAAAUGCGAUCGCGAGGACUUUAUCGCGAAGGUUGGAGCAGAACGAUCAGGCGCUAUUGAGAUAUCAAAUGAAAAUUUACGAAAGAUAAACCAUUAAAGUCCUCUCGAUGUUAUUUAUGCUUUAAUCCAUAAAAUAGAAAAAAGGAGUUUUAUAACGUUCUUAUAUUAUCACUAUUUUCAAAGAUAUAAGUGACAAAAUGUUUAUAUGUGAUGGUCCUAUUUAACACAACAUUAUAUGUAUAAUAAAUAAAUCUAUAUAUGUGUUAUAAUAAUAUAUAUAGAGAACUAUCAUUUUUAUUGUCUCUUAUAAUUCAAAUCUAAGGUAAACCAAUUGUAAUAUAGAUCGAAAGAAUGCUUAAGCACAAUAGUAUUUAGCUCUGUUACAUAUAGUUCCUUAGAUUGUCUUUUCCUCUAAACAAUGUGUCGAAAAUAGGGAAUAUUGCAAGCACAUAUGAAUAUCCAUAUUCAUUUUCCAUCAGAUUAUUAUUUUAAUUAUAUUAAAUUUAAUUAGCGAGAUUAUAAUGUAUAAUAUGUAUAUUUUAUGUGUAAUUACAAAAUAAUUAUGAUGGAAAAUGACUGGAUACUUAUAUAUGUUUACAAUAUUUUAUAAAAUUUAUGUAUGUAUGUAUCAAUUCGCAACAAUAAAAGAUAUGUAUAUACAACGGAAAGAUUAAUAUGCAGUUGAGAUUAAUAUUCAAAGCAUUUUAUAUCAUGAUUAUUUUAUUUGUUAUCCCUUAUUCAAUUAAUAAUGCUGAACAUGACGAACCAGACAAUGCAUCAUGUUAUGGCGAUCAUUUCGUUUUUAGUCAUUAUAUAAAAUUAAAAAAAAAAAAAAA